CUGGGGUAUCCCCCAUAGGUCUCGGUGGCUGGAAUGCCCCCAAAUUCAAAGGUCCGCCGCCACAGGAUGGGUCUGCGGCCUAUUAGGUUGUUGUGGGUGUAACGGACCUACUAGCCUUUGAUCGGUACGGGUUGUGAGAGCAAGAGCCCGGAGAUGGAUUCUGAGACACGAAUCCAGGCCCUACGGGGUGCAGCAGGCGCGAAAACUUUACAAUGCCAGAAAUCGUGAUAAGGGAACCCCGAGUGCCCGGAUAUUCGGGCUGUCCUCCUGUGCCCAAAACUGGUGAACAAAGAACCGGGCGGGACCGAUGCCUGCCACCGCCGUAAUACAAAU
rnacentral:rRNA from 1 species